rnacentral:misc_RNA from 1 species
AACGCACCUUGCGCUCCUUGGUAUUCCGAGGAGCAUGCCUGUUUGAGUGUCAUUAAUAUAUCAACCUCUUCAAAUUUUGUUUGUCGGGUGUUGGAUUUGGGGGUCUUUUUUGCUGGUCUUGUAUCUACAGGUCAGCUCCCCUGAAAUGCAUUAGCAGAACAAUUUGUGAACCGUUCAUUGGUGUGAUAACUAUCUACGCUUUUGACGUGAAACAGGUUCAGCUUCUAACAGUCCAUUGACUUGGACAACUUUUCAUUAAUGUGACCUCAAAUCAGGUAGGACUACCCGCUGAACUUAA